UACGGAGGGAGCUAGCGUUGUUCGGAAUUACUGGGCGUAAAGCGUACGUAGGCGGUUUUUCAAGUCAGAGGUGAAAGCCCGGGGCUCAACCCCGGAACGGCCUUUGAAACUAGAUAGCUAGAGUCUUGGAGAGGUUAGUGGAAUUCCGAGUGUAGAGGUGAAAUUCGUAGAUAUUCGGAAGAACACCAGUGGCGAAGGCGACUAACUGGACAAGUACUGACGCUCAGGCACGAAAGCGUGGGGAGCAAACAGG
rnacentral:rRNA from 1 species